rnacentral:rRNA from 1 species
UACAGAGGGGGCAAGCGUUAUUCGGAAUUAUUGGGCGUAAAGGGCGCGUAGGCGGCCAUUCAAGUGACGGGUGAAAGCCCUCGGCUUAACCGAGGAACUGCCUGUCAGACUGGAUGGCUUGAGACCGGGAGAGGUGAGUGGAACUCCUGGUGUAGCGGUGGAAUGCGCAGAUAUCAGGAAGAACACCAAUAGCGAAAGGCAGCUCGCUGGGGACGGUAUUGACGCUAAGGGCGCGAAAAGCGUGGGGGAGCGAACAGG